rnacentral:lncRNA from 1 species
CUUUCCCAGCAUAGGUUGGAUUUUUUUGUUCCUUUGAUGCUUGAUGAGUCAGAUUUGAUGGUUUGGGUUUGGGGAUGGUCUUAGCGUAUUCCAAAGCCUAAACGCAUAAAGAUGAAAUUUUAUUUGAAAUGGGAAGUGAGCCUGGAUUCCUUAAAUUAAAUCUAGGAAAUGUUUAUUUAUAAUAUAAAUGGAGACUAUCACUAUAACUUACUAAGACAUUGGUGGAAAUGGAGAUCAAACAAUGCAAUAUAACACACAGUUUAAACAAAAUACAUUAGCCACAAAACAAUAUAUUGUGGAAAAAAAGGAGUUGAAGAAUAAUACAUACGGUUGUGUCCUUUGGAUGCUUUUGUCAUAAAACUGAGUUUCCUUCAAGUGUUCCUUCUUAUGUGUUUGGUCUACUUAGUUUCCGGAAGUCUUAGUAAAACCAAACUUCUAUUAAGGAGAUAUUAAUAGACCUUUCUAUCCAAAGAAGACUUGUUACAGCUUGAGACCAAAGACAUCACUGUAGUUUACAUACACUUGAGCUCCCAUCAUUAUACCAGCUAUUCUUGUUCCUAGGAUCUAGAAAGUAUUUGAGGUUGAAAUUUUUUUCUUUCUAUAGCAAUCUAGACGCUGAAAAAGGCAGUCUUUUUCUCAGUGAUGUCAGUUCUGAAAGGCAUUACAAUAAAAAUGAGAUCACUAAAUAUGAUUCCUAAACCUGCCUUUAUAACAGUUUUGCAUUUUAGUAAGAUGUUGUUGAUAGCUGAAAUACAAAUGGAUUGUAUGCUUUCAGUCCUGCAAGGGGAAAAAAAAACCCUCUAAAAUGUAGAAAAGAAAAGUCUAGACUUCUCAGUGCAUGUAGGUGAAUGCUACAGAUAUUUCUAAUUAUAGGUUUGUUGCCUUGAAACUCUUCAUGAAAAAAAAAUGGAUUGGAGAAAAAAGAAAAAGUAGCACCAUAGAAACUCAAUCAAGUGGAUUGAGGUCUUCAAGGUCUGAGGAAGAAAGGCAAUAAAUAGAAAAUAUGAUGGUCUGUGAAAGAGAACAUGAAGUACAAAUUCCUGCAGGCACCAAAGGAUCUCUUGUUCCUCAUGCAAAGGGUCCCGUGUCCUUACAGGGACUGGAUAGAUCAAUUGAGGCAGAGACUUGUACUGCAAAGCUCUGUGUACAUAUUUCAUUCACAUCACAACUGAUGGUUGAUGCCAUCUGAGAGGGAGAACAUUCUGUAUUCCAUGAAAUCAUUUUUCUUCAAUAGAGGAACCUAUAUAUUACAAUCCCUAUGGAGAGUGUAGGGGAAUGAAGUUGAGAGAAACAGUGUUUAUAUGUCUUUUCUUUGACAUAUAAGCAGCAAGAAGACAACAACUGCCUUAAAGCUUAUUUAAUGAUACAAAAUAAAAUUGAUGAUGAAGCUUGCUCAUUUAAGAAAUCACAUUAUUAUUUAAUUUUUAUGUGUGACACAUUUAAAAUACUAUUCCUGGAAGAAAAGACAUGGAGACAAUAACUUCAGGAAAAACAAAGGUUAACUUUACAAAAGUGUGUGUGUGUGUGUGUGUGACUGUGUGUGUGUCACUAUUGCAUUGCUAUCUGUGAAUGAUGGGUAGCUACAGGAAUGGAAGUAGCUAAAACAUCUCCUGCGUUCCAAAAAAAUGGGAAGGUUUUUUUUUUAAGUUACAAGAAAACGGGCUGGGUGUGGUGCCUCUCCCAACACUUGGGGAGGCUUAGUUUGGAGGAUAGCUUGAGCCCAGGAGUUUAUGACCAUCCUGGGCAAGACGGCAAGACUCUGUGGCUAAUUAAAAAAAAAAAAAAAAAGCGAUAAUAAAAGUUUCCUUUUAAUUCUGCUUGAAAAAAUAAAUGCCUUGUUGAGAAUUUCUUACCUUCUGCCGAGGGAUAGCAGAUUUCUUUUGAGUUUUUUCUGUUUGUGGUUUUGAUAGAAUGGAUAGUGUCUUCAUGUUGUACUCCUUGACUUGUUUUGCAUAUUCCUUUUGCUGUAUUAAUUUUUGCGUCUGUUCAGAGAAACAAAGUUAUGAUGAAUCCAGGUGCUGCUAGUUCUCUCUGCUCUCUAUUUAAAGCGAUGCCCUGGUUUCAGUAUACUGGGCGUAUCUUAUCAGCUGUACAGGAGCAAUGGGAUCACCUUGAGUAAGGUGGCAGCAGUGAAAUGGUUAAGUUAAUUGUUUCUCCUUGAAAUAGUCUCUCUGUGAGGAGGCACAUCACUGCAAUAUCACGCCCGGUAUUCCCUUAACAGGGGCUAAAUCACAUUCAGAACCUUCUUUGUUGCAUUUACCCAAUUUAUUUUCAUUUUUGCUUCCAACUUUGAACUAUACUCUCUUUUUAUGCCUUGAGUGCAACUGCAGUUAAAACACAUUAAAUGAAGAUCUCCUUUCACUAGAGGAAAGAGAAUAAAGUGGAUGCACUUUUCAGGGGUUGGGAAACUCUUCCCGUAAGUGUCUUCUCUGUGGCCACUCUUCACAAUUAUCAAGAUAACUCUAGUAGGAAAGACCAACAACCACAUAACAUACACAUUUCUUUUCAGGUGCACAGGCCCCACUUUUCCGUGCGGGCCUUCAAAACUAACUGAAAGACAGAUACAUAAAACAACACGGGCUAAAUAUUUUUAUUUUAAGGCAAAAGGCACGUGUCUGGGUCUCUAUACCAAGAUUAUUUCAGAAGGUCUCUAUUCAGAGUGAGACAUUUGAAUUAGGGUUUAAUUCUGGGGGGCGUCUUCAUAAAGUUUCCUAACAGACAGAUGGGCUGAGUCAGGUCUGGAAACACUGUAUGUGCAUCUCACUCACUUUGUCUCUGAUGGACUCAAAGUCAGGUCCGAGGCCUCCAAGCUUCACGUCUCUUUUCUGAUAACCUUUCAGCUUGGUGUUCUAAAAAUACAACCACAGAAACAGUUUCUUUUAAGGACUUGUGUGUCCCCCGACUCCUAACACCCUGUAAGGUGUCAUAGCCACAUAAAGUAAGAAAGAAAAUAAUGAAAGCCUGUGUGCACUGUCAGAGAAUGGCCGCAUUUCCUGACAAUGCUUCCAUUUUCAUGGUAGUUAUUGGUAAUAGUCUCUUUGGUAAUUCGUAGCUGGUUAGCUAACAUGUUUUCACUUUUCCACUUCUGCAAUAAAGAAACUUAAAAUUCUGAAAUUACAAAUAAAAGUUUUCAAGCUAGUGAUGUCCUGUUUUCUUACGAAUGUUUUUUAUUUUAUUUUUUUUUUUUUGGAGAUACCUGGUUUUGCUGUGUUGUCCAGGCUAGACUUGAACUCCUGGGCUUGAACUCCUGAGCUUAAGUGAUCCUCCCACCUCAGCCUCUUGAGUCGCUGGGAUUACAGAUGUUAGCCACUUCACCUGGCC